CCGAGUUGUAAUUUGGAGAGGAUGCUUUUGGCGCGGCGCCGUCCGAGUUCCUUGGAACAGGACGCCACAGAGGGUGAGAGCCCCGUACGGACGGACGCCUAGCCUCUACAAAGCUCCUUCGAC
rnacentral:rRNA from 1 species